GACGAACGCUUGCGACGUGCCUAAGAAAUGCAAGUCGAGCGAGGUAGCAAUACCUAGCGGCGAACGGUCGCGUAACACGUAAGCAACCUGCCCCAAAGACCGGGACAACGUUCCGAAAGGAGCGCUAAUACCGGAUGUGCCCGACGGGUGACAUCGCCUGUUGAGUAAAUCGAGCAAUCGGCUUUGGGAGGGGCUUGCGGCCUAUCAGCUAGAUGGUGGGGUAACGGCCUACCAUGGCGACGACGGGUAGCUGGUCUGAGAGGAUGGUCAGCCGGAUUGGGGACUGAGAUACGGCCCAGACUCCUACGGGGGGCA
rnacentral:rRNA from 1 species